GAUGAACGCUGGCGGCGUGCUAAACACAUGCAAGUCGAACGAAGCACCUUAACGGAAGUCCUCGGAUGGAAGUUAAGGUGACUGAGUGGCGGACGGGUGAGUAACGCGUGGGUAACCUGCCUCAUACAGGGGGAUAACAGUUAGAAAUGACUGCUAAUACCGCAUAAGCGCACAGUACCGCAUGGUACAGUGUGAAAAACUCCGGUGGUAUGAGAUGGACCCGCGUCUGAUUAGCUAGUUGGUGAGGUAACGGCUCACCAAGGCGACGAUCAGUAGCCGACCUGAGAGGGUGACCGGCCACAUUGGGACUGAGACACGGCCCAAACUCCUACGGGAGGCAGCAGUGGGGAAUAUUGCACAACGGGCGAAAGCCUGAUGCAGCGACGCCGCGUGAGCGAAGAAGUAUUUCGGUAUGUAAAGCUCUAUCAGCAGGGAAGAUAAUGACGGUACCUGACUAAGAAGCCCCGGCUAACUACGUGCCAGCAGCCGCGGUAAUAC
rnacentral:rRNA from 1 species